AUUAAACGCUGGCGGCAUGCCUUACACAUGCAAGUCGAACGGCAGCACGGGGGCAACCCUGGUGGCGAGUGGCGGACGGGUGAGUAAAGCAUCGGAACGUAUCCUGGAGUGGGGGAUAACGUAGCGAAAGUUACGCUAAUACCGCAUAUUCUGUGAGCAGGAAAGCAGGGGAUCGCAAGACCUUGCGCUCUGGGAGCGGCCGAUGUCGGAUUAGCUAGUUGGUGGGGUAAAGGCCUACCAAGGCGACGAUCUGUAGCGGGUCUGAGAGGAUGAUCCGCCACACUGGAACUGAGACACGGUCCAGACUCCUACGGGAGGCAGCAGUGGGGAAUUUUGGACAAUGGGCGCAAGCCUGAUCCAGCCAUGCCGCGUGAGUGAAGAAGGCCUGGUGU
rnacentral:rRNA from 1 species